UGAAGUUAGGGUCCGGGAAGUUUACACAAAAUUCUCUAAACUGUUCUUUAGUUCAAGCUGAUUUCUAAAGUACAUGACUGUUUCGUAUGAUUGAUUGGUGACGAUUAACGCAAAACAAAAACGGCUCACGUCAUGCCAUGGAAAUUGCCGGCUUUUUCUUCCGGUGGCAGUGAAUAUUUUUUAUGAACACUUUACGUCGUUUUCUGCUUACGGCGACUUUGUUCUGAGGGACGGAAAAGCGUUUGACACUUUUGUACCCUGCUUAGUCACGUCAGCUAAACUGAACAUUUCGCUCUAGUGUGUAGUUUAACUGAACACCUCAUGUAGAUGUUCCAGAUUACACGCAGCUGCGUUUACAGUUCCGCGUGCAAUACCUCGCCGGCAACCCGCUGGCCUAACCUACAUUUUCCUCCUGCAUGAUGGCUCUGAGCUAGGCCACUCGCCGGCGGAAGGGAAGUUCAAGCCUUCAACAGUGGACCAACCAGACCGUACAUCCACGUCGACAGGGUGCAUUUGAGUUUGUACUUCUUGUACUGCGGAUUGCCAUAUAGAACCAAGCCGGUGGCCGGGAACUCUGUAGGGGUACAGUACAGAUGACUACACCCCAGAAAACAAUGAAGACAACAUCGUCGAAAGUCGUUGCCCUGCUCUUUACAGCAGCGCUGUUCUUACUGUUUGUUGGUCAAGCUGACAGCAUCGUGUGCCCGCCAGGAUACUGCGAACAACAGCAAUGCAAACAAGUGGACGAAGCUACCUGUGACGGAAUCGUGAAACCAAAUGCGACCUUCUGUCAGUGUUGUCCAGCCUGCAUCAAACUCCUCGGUGAAAAUGAUUCCUGCUUCGCUCUUCAACUCAGAGGAGGAUCACCGCCAAAAGCACAGUGCUCCGAUGGCCUGUACUGCGAUCCCAAAACGACGACAUGCACUCCAAUACCCUAACCCGGAAACUUGCUCGCCUGCUCUUUUCGCUCAAACCAGCACGAGUAUAACUUCACUUAUUUUCGGAUAUUGUGGAUAUAGCGGGCGUUAUGCAAGCGAAAGCAGCGAUUGAAGGGAAAUAAAGGAUAUUCUGUACCUCCUGUU